rnacentral:ncRNA from 1 species
GAUAAGAUUUCGGUGCUCCCAAAAGGAGAGAAUAGGGAAACGGGUGAGAUUCCCGUGCGAUCCCGUCGCUGUGAUCGGGGAGUCUGCAGCAAUUGUGCCACUGGCCGUUGGCCGGGAAGGCUGCUGCGGGCGCGGAUCCGUAAGCCAGAAGACCUGCCGCAGUCUUUA